rnacentral:rRNA from 1 species
GACGAACGCUGGCGGCGUGCUUAACACAUGCGAGUCGAACGAUGAUCAGGAGCUUGCUCCUGUGAUUAGUGGCGAACGGGUGAGUAACACGUGAGUAACCUGCCCCUGACUCUGGGAUAAGCGUUGGAAACGACGUCUAAUACUGGAUAUGAUCACUGGCCGCAUGGUCUGGUGGUGGAAAGAUUUUUUGGUUGGGGAUGGACUCGCGGCCUAUCAGCUUGUUGGUGAGGUAAUGGCUCACCAAGGCGACGACGGGUAGCCGGCCUGAGAGGGUGACCGGCCACACUGGGACUGAGACACGGCCCAGACUCCUACGGGAGGCAGCAGUGGGGAAUAUUGCACAAUGGGCGAAAGCCUGAUGCAGCAACGCCGCGUGAGGGAUGACGGCCUUCGGGUUGUAAACCUCUUUUAGUAGGGAAGAAGCGAAAGUGACGGUACCUGCAGAAAAAGCACCGGCUAACUACGUG